rnacentral:rRNA from 1 species
AUUGAACGCUGGCGGCAUGCUUUACACAUGCAAGUCGAACGGCAGCGCGGGGGCAACCCUGGCGGCGAGUGGCGAACGGGUGAGUAAUAUAUCGGAACGUGCCCAGUCGUGGGGGAUAACGUAGCGAAAGUUACGCUAAUACCGCAUACGAUCUAAGGAUGAAAGCGGGGGAUCGCAAGACCUCGCGCGAUUGGAGCGGCCGAUAUCAGAUUAGGUAGUUGGUGGGGUAAAGGCUCACCAAGCCAACGAUCUGUAGCUGGUCUGAGAGGACGACCAGCCACACUGGAACUGAGACACGGUCCAGACUCCUACGGGAGGCAGCAGUGGGGAAUUUUGGACAAUGGACGCAAGCCUGAUCCAGCCAUUCCGCGUGCAGGAUGAAGGCCCUCGGGUUGUAAACUGCUUUUGUACGGAACGAAAAGGUCUCUCUUAAUACGGGGGACUCAUGACGGUACCGUAAGAAUAAGCACCGGCUAACUACGUGCCAGCAGCCGCCGUAA